AGUGAACGCUGGCGGUAGGCCUAACACAUGCAAGUCGAACGGCAGCACAGUAAGAGCUUGCUCUUACGGGUGGCGACUGGCGGACGGGUGAGGAAUACAUCGGAAUCUACUUUUUCGUGGGGGAUAACGUAGGGAAACUUACGCUAAUACCGCAUACGACCUACGGGUGAAAGCAGGGGUUCUUCGGACCUUUCGCGAUUGAAUGAGCCGAUGUCGGAUUAGCUAGUUGGCGGGGUAAAGGCCCACCAAGGCGACGAUGCGUAGCUGGUCUGAGAGGAUGAUCAGCCACACUGGAACUGAGACACGGUCCAGACUCCUACGGGAGGCAGCAGUAGGGAAUAUUGGGCAAUGGGCGCAAGCCUGAUCCAGCCAUACCGCGUGAGUGAAGAAGGUCUUCGGGUUGUAAAGCCCUUUUGUUAGGGAAGAAAAGCAGCAGGAUAAUACCCCGCUGUUCUGACGGUACCCAAAGAAUAAGCACCGGCUAACUUCGUG
rnacentral:rRNA from 1 species